CCUCUAGAAGUUUGGGCGCACGCGCAUUCACUAUCAGGGCCAGAGAGUCAUCUCUUGGACGAGAGGUCUAGAUAUCUUGAUUAACCUGUACUGGCAGGGGAAUAGAGCAUUGCAAAUGAUGCUGUCAACGAGGAAUGCCUAGUGGCACAAAGUCAUCAGCUUGUGCGAUUACGUCCCUGCCCUUGUACACACUACCCGUCGAUAAUAACCGAUUGAAUGGCUCAGUGAGGCCUUCGGACUGGCUUAGGGAGGUUGGCAACGACCACCCCGAGCCGGAAAGUUGGUCAAACUUGGUCAUUUAGAGGAAGUAAAAGUCGUAACAAGGUUUCCGUAGGUGAACCUGCGGAAGGAUCAUUA
rnacentral:ncRNA from 1 species